rnacentral:rRNA from 1 species
UACGUAGGGUGCGAGCGUUGUCCGGAAUUAUUGGGCGUAAAGAGCUCGUAGGCGGCUUGUCACGUCGGUUGUGAAAGCCCCGGGGCUUAACCCCGGGUCUGCAGUCGAUACGGGCAGGCUAGAGUUCGGUAGGGGAGAUCGGAAUUCCUGGUGUAGCGGUGAAAUGCGCAGAUAUCAGGAGGAACACCGGUGGCGAAGGCGGAUCUCUGGGCAUUAACUGACGCUGAGGAGCGAAAGCAUGGGGAGCGAACAGG